UACAGAGGUCCCAAGCGUUGUUCGGAUUUACUGGGCGUAAAGGGUGCGUAGGUGGUCGGGUAAGUCUCAUGUGAAAUCCCGCAGCUUAACUGCGGAACGGCAUGGGAUACUAUUCGGCUCGAGGAUUGGAGGGGGGGGGACUGGAAUUCCCGGUGUAGCAGUGAAAUGCGUAGAUAUCGGGAGGAACACCAGUGGCGAAGGCGAGUCCCUGGACAAUUCCUGACGCUGAGGCACGAAAGCCAGGGGAGCAAACAGG
rnacentral:rRNA from 1 species